rnacentral:rRNA from 1 species
AGGUGCUGCAUGGCUGUCGUCAGCUCGUGUCGUGAGAUGGUUAGGGUUAACGUCCCGUAACGAGCGCAACCCUUGUCCUUAGUUACCAGCACGUUAUGGUGGGCACUCUAAGGAGACUGCCGGUGACAAACCGGAGGAAGGGUGGGGAUGACGUCAAGUCAUCAUCGGCCCUUACGGCCUGGGCUACACACGUGCUACAAUGGUCGGUACAAAGGGUUGCCAAGCCGCGAGGUGGAGCUAAUCCCAUAAAACCGAUCGUAGUCCGGAUCGCAGUCUGCAACUCGACUGCGUGAAGUCGGAAUCGCUAGUAAUCGUGAAUCAGAAUGUCACGGUGAAUACGUUCCCGGGCCUU